CAAAAUUAUUAAAUGUGUUCAUUCUUAGUCGUCAUUGAAGUACAACUUAAUAAACUACAAAACACAUCAAAUUCAGUUAUAAAAAUUUGAGUAACAAAGGUAUACUAAUUAAUGUAUUGCCUGAAAGAGUGUCAUUGCUAUUAAAAGCAGUGAAGAAUUCAAGUACUCUGGAAGAAAAGAAAAUACGUCAAUUAUUUGGCACAAAUCGGAGUUAAAGACAAAGGAGAUUGUAUAUUUUAUUUGCUAAGAAUAGUUUUUU